GGAGGCAAGAAUCUACCACAGCAUGUACUCAUGAAAGCAAGCAGAAACUUUUCUCACCAGAAAAAAACGACAGCUUUAUUUAGCAGCUUUAUGAAUAUAUUCAAACAUCUGCAUAACACGCAGAUUUAUGUGCUUCUUCAGAAAUAACUUGUAAAUGUUUUAAGAGUUGCUGCUUUGUCUGGUACCAGACCUCAGGGGGGGUGACAUCUCUGGCGUGACAUCUCUGUAGUUCCUCUCAGUGGAAGUUGGGAUUGGUCGUUAAAAUUAUGAAGUAAGUGGCCUUGACACGUCAGACCAGUGUUCACGUUUGAUCUUUCAUUUAUGCUCUAUGUUGCUUUCUUUGUGACUAUCACCAUCUUCUUUGUGGCUUAAACCAAAAAGCUAAGCCUGGUUGACCCCAACCAAUAAACCUGAGCUGGCUGAAACAGUCAGAAAUAUUCACAAGAGUAAAUGAAGUUACUUUUAAUAUAGAUGCACAAAAUAUAUCAGUGAACGAGGACAAAUGUACUAACUACUGUAUAUGUGUAUCCCUGGUUUGGAGUAGGGGUGUUCCGAUACAGCAUGUUUACUCCCAAUACGAUACCAAUAUUGUUGGCUUCAGUAUUGGCCCAUACCGAUAUUGAUCCGAUAUUUGCACAAAAUUGUGCAUUACAAGUUUUGCACUCAGCUGCAAUGUCUUUUUCCGACUUUAACGAAAAAUACUGCUACAUGGCCAACAUCACUGCGACUCCUUGUUACUUUGAUAGUACCUUAGUACAAACUAAUGUUGUAAUUACGUGGACUCUACAUGCUGUAUCCGAGCGCUUGAAUGGACUACUUGUAUCGGAGUGCUGAUAUCAGAGAUUUUAGAUACAGGCUGAUAUAAUCCGAUAUUUGUUUUUUUGCUGAUAUCGGACAGAUAUCAAUAUCGGAUCGGGACAUCCCUUGUUAUAAGUAUUUUUUUUUUUUUUUAAAUGUCUGUUAUGGUUACCUGGGGAGGCAGUAUAACAAUGGGUAUUUUGGCUUCCCUUUUGUUCAACUGGAUGAGAGGCAUGUCAUCCAUCUUUAAAGUUAAAGGUGUACACAAUUAUUAAGACAAGGUUUUCAUCAGAAUUUCUUGAUUUUGAAUAAUUGGUGACUGAGGCAUCAACAGGAAAUUCUUCCUGCACUAAGGUUACAUUAAUGGCAUUCAACUAUGGAGUGGUUUAUUCACAACUAUUUAUGCAUGUUGAAAGUUCCAGACGGUUUUGUAUCCGUACAAUAAAAAACAUCCAAAAUUGAAUAAUUUAGGGCUGGAGUGUUUCGUAUGCCUCAACUGAAAUCAAGGUUAAAUCUCUCAACACUGAAUAUUUAUAAAACAUCAUGGUCUCCAAAAAAGAAAAAAAACAAUCAAAGUCAUGUAGCAACUCCUAAAAAGUGCUGAAGUGCACGAAAGCUUGUUAUAUCAUCACAGGGUCAUACAGCUACACAUGUUUUAACUUAGAGGGUGCUGGAUUUAAACGUACUAAUCUGAUGUUGGAUGAGUUGCACUUUGGUGGAAGCAGUGAAGGGAAUGACUUCAUUGCUUUACAGCUUUUUUCCAGUUGAGUAUGAGCCUCUGUUUUCUGGAAAUAUGACAUGAAUUGAUUCUGUUUAAUCCAUUGUUUUCAUUUUGUUUCAUGCCUUUAAUUUAGGGAAGCAGUUGUUGCGUUGUUGUUCUCAUUGUUCUUAACAUUGCCAUACUUAUUCCCUCGAUAUUGUUUUUAUUGGUUUGUCAUUCAGUCUGUGACCCAAAUGUCCUCUCAUACCUUUGGUGGCAGACGCUCUUCACAAGUCGCUACGAUCAGAGGGGCAGUGUUAACCUGUUUUGAAGGCUGUUGGAUUAUUUUACAAUAAAGAAAUGGAUAUUUUUCCCAGAGUGUAGUUCAAAGGAUUCUGCUUCAUGGAGAAAAUCCACCCUAAAAUAAAACUGACUCUGAUCACAGACUGCUCAAUCAGUCCGUAUGGAUGAAAUACACUCCUCUGUGUUGUCAUCACAAACACUCGUCCACAUAAAGCGCGUCUGAAAAUAAACAGUUUUGAGGACAAAUUUUUUUUUUGUUUUCACAAAGCCAUGUUGAUUUUGAUUCCCCAUCAAUGAAACACCUGCAAGGUUUGCCUCAGCGGUACCUGUUGUCGCUGGCAGAAAGAAGGAAACUGUAUUCUGGUUCAUGUUCAAACAAGAAAAUAAUAUGCAAAUUAUGUUCUGGGUCGGAUUUUCCAUUUGACUCACCAUAUUGCACAACCAGGCCAAGAAACAUUGGUUUUAGCUGAAAAGCAGAUGUGAGUAAGAGGGAUUUGAAGACCCACAAAGGCAUACAUGUCAGGCACAGAAUACUGAAGUGAGAAGCUCUUAAACCAAUUCAACCUUGUGUGCUUUAACAUGUCAGUCAUUUCAGAAAGAAAGGUCUUACUACUGAAAGCAUCGUCAGUGUUGCACCUUAUUUCAACUACAGCAAAGAAGCGGGAAAGACAGAAAGAAAGAAAGGAAGUAAAGAAGGAAAGAAGGACUGAGGAUAGGGAAGAAAGGAAAAAAGCUCUUACUAAUUCAAGCAUUGUCAGUGUUGCACCUUAUUUCAUCUACAGCAAAGAAGCAGGAAAGACAGACAGAGAGAAAGGAAGGAAGUAAAGAAGGAAAGAAGGACUGAGGAUAGGGAAGAAAGGAAAAAAGCUCUUACUAAUUCAAGCAUUGUCAGUGUUGCACCUUAUUUCAACUACAGCAAAGAAGCGGGAAAGAGAGAAAGGAGGGAAAGAAGGAAGAAGGAAGAAAGGACAGAAGAAAGGAAGGAAGGAAGGAAAGGUCUUACUAAUUCAAGCAUUGGUCAGUGUUGCACCUUAUUUCAACUACAGCAAGAAAGAAAGAAAGAAAGAAAGAAAAAGGAAUAACUGAAGGCAGGGAAGGAAGGAAAGAAAGGAGGGAAAAAGAAAGAAGAGACAAAGAAGUAAGGAAGUAAGGAAAGACAGAAAAGAAAGAAAGAAAGAAGGAAGGAAGGAAGGAAGGAAGGAAAAAAGAAAAAGAAAGACAGAAAGAGAAUCAGACAUACAAAAAGAAGGGAAGGAUGGAAGGAAGAAAGAAGUAGGGAAGGAAAAAAAGGUAGGAAGGAGGAAGACAGAAAAAGAAAGGACAGAAGAAACAAAGAAGUAGAGGAGAUGGAAAGAAAGAGGAAAGAAAGAAGUAGGGAAGGAAGGAGGAAGAAGGGAAGGAAGGAAGAAAAGAAAGAAAGAGAAGUAGAGAAGGAAGGAAGGAAGAAAAAAAGAGAAGUAGGGAAGGAAGGAAGGAAACUAGCAAGGAAGGAAAGAAAUAA